rnacentral:rRNA from 1 species
CGCAUCUGUGCAUGCAGCAUAUCAAUAAGCGGAGGAAAAGAAACUAACAAGGAUUCCCCUAGUAACGGCGAGUGAAGCGGGAAGAGCUCAAAUUUGAAAUCUUAAAGGGUUUCCCUUUACGAAUUGUAGUUUAAAGAAGUGUUUUCUGUUGAGGUUUUGGUAAAAGUUCUUUGGAAUAGGACAUCAUAGAGGGUGAGAAUCCCGUAUUUGACCUUUACUUUCAACUUUGUGAUACACUUUCAAAGAGUCGGAUUGUUUGGGAAUGCAGUCCAAAAUGGGUGGUAAAUUUCAUCUAAAGCUAAAUAUUGGCGAGAGACCGAUAGCGAACAAGCACCGUGAGGGAAAGAUGAAAAGAACUUUGAAAAGAGAGUUAAACAGUACGUGAAAUUGUCAAAAGGGAAGCGUUUGACACCAGUGUUGUUUUCCUGAAAAUCAAUUAAAGAACUGUUUAUGCUAAGCUGUUUAGACUUUAUCAGCUAACUGUUUAGUUUUGAGCUUUUCUUUAAUGCACUUUUCAGUUAACAAGUCAACAUCAAUUUCUUUUGCUGUAAAAAGGCUUGAGGAAGGUGGCUUGAGAUUCGUCUUAAGUGUUUAUAGCCUCUUGCCUAUGCAGUCGGAGAGAUUGAGGUCUGCAGCGUAGAUCCUUCGGGGCUAAAUGCAUUUGUGCUAAGUUAUAGCAUUUUAUAGACAACUUGUUGACUAUGAUUUGUCUUGUAGCUUACUCGCUUAUGUUAUUUUACCUACGCUUAGGAUGUUGAACGCGCACAGAGUCC